rnacentral:rRNA from 1 species
UUAAGUGACUAAGCGUACACGGUGGAUGCCUGGGCAGUCAGAGGCGAAGAAGGACGUAGUAACUUGCGAUAAGCCCAGAUAAGGCAGUAACAGCCACUUGAGUCUGGGAUUUCCGAAUGGGGAAACCCACUGGCAUAAGCCAGUAUCAUUAACUGAAUCCAUAGGUUAAUGAGGCGAACUCGGGGAACUGAAACAUCUAAGUACCCGAAGGAAAAGAAAUCAAUUGAGAUUCCGGCAGUAGCGGCGAGCGACCCCGGACCAGCCCUUAAGCUGAUUGUGAGUUAGUGGAAGCCACUGGAAAGUGGCGCGAUACAGGGUGAUAGCCCCGUACACGACAACGCACAGUGAGUGAAAACGAGUAAGACGGGACACGUGUUAUCUUGUCUGAAGAUGGGGGGACCAUCCUCCAAGGCUAAAUACUCCUGACUGACCGAUAGUGAACCAGUACCGUGAGGGAAAGGCGAAAAGAACCCCUGUGAGGGGAGUGAAAUAGAACCUGAAACCGUGUACGUACAAGCAGUGGGAGCCUCCUUGUGGGGUGACUGCGUACCUUUUGUAUAAUGGGUCAGCGACUUACGUUAUGUAGCAAGGUUAACCGUAUAGGGGAGCCGUAGGGAAACCGAGUCUUAACUGGGCGUUCAGUUGCAUGACGUAGACCCGAAACCGGGUGAUCUAGCCAUGGGCAGGUUGAAGAUUGAGUAACAUCAAUUGGAGGACCGAACCGACUAAUGUUGAAAAAUUAGCGGAUGACUUGUGGCUAGGGGUGAAAGGCCAAUCAAACCCGGAGAUAGCUGGUUCUCCCCGAAAGCUAUUUAGGUAGCGCCUCGGACGAAUACUACUGGGGGUAGAGCACUGUUAAGGCUAGGGGGUCAUCCCGACUUACCAACCCUUUGCAAACUCCGAAUACCAGUAAGUAGUAUCCGGGAGACACACGGCGGGUGCUAACGUCCGUCGUGGAGAGGGAAACAACCCAGACCGCCAGCUAAGGUCCCCAAGUUAUCGCUAAGUGGGAAACGAUGUGGGAAGGCUCAGACAGCCAGGAUGUUGGCUUAGAAGCAGCCAUCAUUUAAAGAAAGCGUAAUAGCUCACUGGUCGAGUCGGCCUGCGCGGAAGAUGUAACGGGGCUAAGCGAUACACCGAAGCUGCGGCAGUGUGAUUUAUCACAUUGGGUAGGGGAGCGUUCUGUAAGCCGUAGAAGGUGGUCUGUAAGGGCUGCUGGAGGUAUCAGAAGUGCGAAUGCUGACAUGAGUAACGAUAAAGGGGGUGAAAAACCUCCUCGCCGGAAGACCAAGGGUUCCUGUCCAACGUUAAUCGGGGCAGGGUAAGUCGGCCCCUAAGGCGAGGCCGAAAGGCGUAGUCGAUGGGAAACGGGUUAAUAUUCCCGUACUGCUGAUAACUGCGAUGGGGGGACGGAGAAGGCUAGGUGGGCCAGGCGACGGUUGUCCUGGUUCAAGUGCGUAGGUAGGUGAGUUAGGCAAAUCCGGCUCGCUAUAUACUGAGACACGAUGUCGAGACACCACGGUGUUGAAGUCAUUGAUGCCCUGCUUCCGGGAAAAGCCUCUAAGCUUCAGGUUAUCAGUAACCGUACCCCAAACCGACACAGGUGGUCGGGUAGAGAAUACCAAGGCGCUUGAGAGAACUCGGGUGAAGGAACUAGGCAAAAUGGUACCGUAACUUCGGGAGAAGGUACGCUGCCCGCGGUGAAGUCCCUGGCGGAUGGAGCUAUGGGCAGUCGCAGAUACCAGGUGGCUGCAACUGUUUAUUAAAAACAUAGCACUGUGCAAACUCGAAAGAGGACGUAUACGGUGUGACGCCUGCCCGGUGCUGGAAGGUUAAUUGAUGGGGUUAUCCUUAGGGAGAAGCUCUUGAUCGAAGCCCCAGUAAACGGCGGCCGUAACUAUAACGGUCCUAAGGUAGCGAAAUUCCUUGUCGGGUAAGUUCCGACCUGCACGAAUGGCGUAAUGAUGGCCACGCUGUCUCCACCCGAGACUCAGUGAAAUUGAAAUCGCAGUGAAGAUGCUGUGUACCCGCGGCUAGACGGAAAGACCCCGUGAACCUUUACUACAGCUUGGCACUGAACAUUGAGCCUACAUGUGUAGGAUAGGUGGGAGGCUUGGAAGCGGUGACGCCAGUUGCCGUGGAGCCAUCCUUGAAAUACCACCCUUGUAUGUUUGAUGUUCUAACUUGGCCCCAUAAUCUGGGGUGAGGACAGUGUCUGGUGGGUAGUUUGACUGGGGCGGUCUCCUCCCAAAGCGUAACGGAGGAGCACGAAGGUGGGCUAAUCACGGUCGGACAUCGUGAGGUUAGUGCAAUGGCAAAAGCCCGCUUGACUGCGAGAAUGACGGUUCGAGCAGGUGCGAAAGCAGGUCAUAGUGAUCCGGUGGUUCUGAAUGGAAGGGCCAUCGCUCAACGGAUAAAAGGUACUCCGGGGAUAACAGGCUGAUACCGCCCAAGAGUUCAUAUCGACGGCGGUGUUUGGCACCUCGAUGUCGGCUCAUCACAUCCUGGGGCUGAAGUCGGUCCCAAGGGUAUGGCUGUUCGCCAUUUAAAGUGGUACGCGAGCUGGGUUUAGAACGUCGUGAGACAGUUCGGUCCCUAUCUGCCGUGGGCGUUGGAGAAUUGAGAGGGGCUGCUCCUAGUACGAGAGGACCGGAGUGGACGAACCUCUGGUGUUCGGGUUGUCACGCCAGUGGCAUUGCCCGGUAGCUAAGUUCGGAAUUGAUAACCGCUGAAAGCAUCUAAGCGGGAAGCGAGCCUCGAGAUGAGUUCUCCCUAAGGCUAAAAGCCUUCUAAAGGGUUGUUGGAGACGACGACGUAGAUAGGUCAGGUGUGUAAGUGCUGUGAGGCAUUGAGCUAACUGAUACUAAUUGCCCGUGAGGCUUAACCCU